rnacentral:tRNA from 2 species
GCUAUGUAGCUCAGUUGGUUAGAGCACCGCACUCAUAAUGCGGGGGUCACAAGUUCAAGUCUCGUCAUAGCCACCA